AUCCAAUGAUAGCUGGACAAGUCAGUAAGCCCUUGCUGUCAGUGCGGAGUGAAAUGAAUGCGGAGUUGAGAGGUGAGGACAAGGCUGCUACUUCAGACAGCGAGCUGAAUGAGCCCCUGCUUGCGCCUGUGGAAUCAAAUGACAGCGAGGACACUCCCAGCAAGCUCUUCGCCUUGAUCCUCAUUGGAAUCUGAUACAGGAGUGCCAGGACUGGUGAGAAUCACAUAAACUGGAGAAAUUGGCCAUACUCUUGUUCAAGGCUAAUCAGAGAGGCAAAUGAUGACCCUGCAAUUUCAGAAAUAAUGUUUGCAUCAUUUGUGGUUGAGCUUUGGCAUGUGAGCGAGUGUUCCUAAAGUGGAACCAGUGUGUACCAGCCCAGCACAAAGUCAGCACUCAGCAUUUGUCAUCGUGUGAGGUAUGGCAAGGAAGAGCAGCUCCUUUCAGACUCAACUGUAGCUCUAAGUGAAAUCAAUGGCCGAACAAUCUAACACAAUUGGUCACAUAUUGAUAGAAUUAAACACCGCUGUUAA
rnacentral:sRNA from 1 species